rnacentral:tRNA from 1 species
GGGGGUAUAGCUCAGUGGUUAGAGUACAUGCUUAGCAUGUAUGAGGUCCUGGGUUCAAUCCCUAGAACUGCCA